UACAGAGGUGGCAAGCGUUGUUCGGAAUUACUGGGCGUAAAGGGCGCGUAGGCGGUUCGUUAAGUCCUGUGUGAAAUCCCCCGGCUCAACUGGGGAACUGCACAGGAAACUAGCGGGCUUGAGUUCGGGAGAGGGAAGCGGAAUUCCGGGUGUAGCGGUGAAAUGCGUAGAUAUCCGGAGGAACACCGGUGGCGAAGGCGGCUUCCUGGACCAACACUGACACUGAGGCACGAAGGCCAGGGGAGCAAACGGG
rnacentral:rRNA from 1 species